GUGCUAAACAGUUGUGUGAAAACAGGAUUAAUAAAGACUUAAAAUAAAAGAGAUCAAGGAUAUGGAGUGCAAAAAUAAUAAAUGAAAUAAAGAUGCAAUUGAUCAAUGGCAAAAGAGCAUAGAGAUGAACGGAGGUUGAUUUAUAUGAGAUGGAUAUGUUGUUGGGGUUAAAUUUCACCAAGUUCGCUCUCAUGUGUAUAAGAAUUCUUCUUUAUGCAUUAAUGCUAAUGUCCCUCACUAAAUAACUUAAACCCGAUCCCUCGGUAAAUAAGCCUGUCCCUAAUUAGCAGUUCAUACAAUUUCUAGCAUUC
rnacentral:lncRNA from 1 species